rnacentral:rRNA from 1 species
GACGGAGGAUGCAAGUGUUAUCCGGAAUCACUGGGCGUAAAGCGUCUGUAGGUGGUUUAAAAAGUCCACUGUUAAAAAUUGAAGCUUAACUUCAAAGAUGCCGUGGAAACUUUUAAACUUGAGGAUGAUAGGGGUAGAGGGAAUUUCCAGUGGAGCGAUGAAAUGCGUAGAUAUUGGAAAGACCACCAAUGGCGAAGGCACUCUACUGGGCCAUUACUGACACUGAGAGACGAAAGCUAGGGGAGCGAAUGGG